rnacentral:misc_RNA from 1 species
CUGGUGGCCAACGAAACUCAUCUAAAUGCUGGAAAAGCGCUUGAGUUAAGAGAGAACAUAGCAAUUCACCUUACCUCACUUAAUUCUUCAUGCUAUGAAAUAAAAAUUGAAUUACUAGAUGGCUAAUUUAAUGUUUAUCAAACUCAAGCUAUAAACUAUAACAACAAAAUAAAGGCAAGUCUCUCUCUCUCUAACUUAUUUAGAGACUAUUUUUUUCUCAAAUGUUAGGUUUUUCUUAGGGUUCAGACUCCCGUUUUUCUCGGCUGUUUGGUGUCGUCCCCUGCCCUUCGAAGUAGGGAAUGGUUAUACCUCCUGCCUAGAGAAUGGGUUCGCUCCUUAUCAGUGGGUGAGGUUGUGUAUAGUUUUGUGGUUUUGAUUUGUAAAAUGGGUGGUUUGGUGAGAGCUUCUUGUGGUUCUACUGUGUAGCUCGAUGGUGGAGGAACUAUGCUUUCAUGGUUCUGUUUCUCCUUAAUGCUAAUGGUUUCGAUUUCAUUGGAAGGGCAAGUGAUCAAUUAGGGAGGAGGCUUAAAGUACGAGGACUUGAGGGUUAGAGUCCUCUUCUCUUAGGUCAAUGGUCCUUUGAUGACAAGGGGGUUUGUUCUUGAGUGUCGGUAAAUGUAGUUUGUUUGUGUUGCCUUUGAUCUUUUCUCCUUGAGAUGCUGCACUAGCUUCAGCUAUAGGACGUUUGACGAUGCUACAUGAUGGCUAAGGCAGAUUCUCAUUCAUGUGGGCAACAAGGUUUGGGUGAUUUUGUUGGGUUUUUAAUGAAUUAUGGGUGUGGAUUGCUGUUUGGAUUGAUUUGUGGCCUUUGCCUUGUUUGUCAUUAGAUGUAGUUGUAUUUGUCCAACAAAUCUUGUUUAAUGCAAU